rnacentral:lncRNA from 1 species
UUUUCAAAAAAUGUUGAGAAAAUUUGUCAAACCUUGCUUGACCAUGUUAGACUUAUGAUGAUUCAAUUGGACUUAUCCAAGUUGAUUUGAAUUGAAUUUGAAGUUUGACCAUGCAUUGUUCAUUUUAUUUUAUGUAUUAUUUUAAUUCCAAAAAAUACCAAAAAAUAUGUUUGACAUUUCUUGACUUCUAAUCUUCAUUUCACUUCUGUUUACCAUUGGUUGAUGUUGAUUCCAUUCACAUUUGACCAUUGUAUUUUGAUUAUGUCAUUUGAAUUCCCAUUUUCU